GAUAAGAUGGCUGAGGUGUAGGCGGUAAAUUGUAAAUUUAUUAACAAGUAUUAAACUUUCUUAUUA
rnacentral:tRNA from 1 species